rnacentral:rRNA from 1 species
AUACGGGGCUCUUCGAGUCUGGUAAUUGGAAUGAGUACAAUCUAAAUCCCUUAACGAGGAUCAAUUGGAGGGCAAGUCUGGUGCCAGCAGCCGCGGUAAUUCCAGCUCCAAUAGCGUAUAUUUAAGUUGUUGCAGUUAAAAAGCUCGUAGUUGGACCUUGGGUUGGGUCGAUCGGUCCGCCUAUGGUGAGCACCGAUUGGCUCGUCCCUUCAUUCGGGGAAACGCUCCUAGCCUUUACUGGCCGGGUCGUGCCUCCGGCGCUGUUACUUUGCAGGAAUUAGAGUGCUCAAAGCCAAGCUCUAUCGCUGCGGUAACACAUUACGCAUGGGAUAAGCAUGCAUACGGAUUCCGAUCC